UUGCCUAUCAACUGGGUUUUCAAGAAGAUUUGAGUUUCCUGUAUAAUAAAAAAAAAAAAAAAAAAGUGAGAAUAGAGUCUCAAACAUGUUACAUACUUCACAAAAUAUCUAUGUUAUGCAAAACAAGACUAGUAAUACCUUCAGAGAGAGGGCCAGCUUUAGACGAUGUUUCUUCCAGUGGAUCACAUGGAGUAGUAUCAGUGGUGGCAGCAGGAAUAGUAUUUUUCAAGAGGUCAAAAAUAUAGUAGUCUAACUCUGAUGAAUCAACUGCUCCAACUCCUAAAACACAUCCUUCGUGCAUGGAAGUAGGUGUAUUUGCUGGAAUUCUACUUUUAUUCAAGUAAACUCCAUUCAAACUCUA